ensembl:lncRNA
ACCAGAUCCUAGUGCUGAUCUGGGAUCAGGUUAGCCUUUUAGAUAAUAAUGAAUACUAGAGAGGACCAGAUCCUAGUGCUGGUCUGGGAUCAGGUUAGCCUUUUGGAUCAUAAUGAAUACUAGAGAGGACCAGAUCCUAGUGCUGAUCUGGGAUCAGGUUAACCUUUUAGAUAAUAAUGAAUACUAGAGAGGACCGGAUCCUAGUGCUGAUCUGGGAUCAGGUUAACCUUUUAGAUAAUAAUGAAUACUAGAGAGGACCGGAUCCGAGUGCUGAUCUGGGAUCAGGUUAACCUUUUAGCUCAUAGUGAGUGAGAGGACCAGAGAGGACCUACUCUGAGACGCUUUAGGAAUACAGGCCCAGUUCAGAUCCACUUUGGUAUUCAGAUAGAACCGGACCGACCGACAGAGCAGCAUGCUUUAAAGCUCAACACCAGCAGAAGUACUAUGGCUACAGCUGGAACAGACUGUGACCAUAGGAUUCAUGUAUAGAUAUACCAUUUUAGAAUAAUGAAUAUGAUACAAUAUAAAGAAGACACGAUGACAUUUAUAAUCGUGAGAGAGAGGAAGGAGUAUUUGAAAUACGUACGAGGUCCACAGAUUUCUAGGCCGUGUCCCAAACUGUACCCUAUUCCCUGUGUAGUACUGGUCAAAAAGUAGUGCACUAUAUAGGGAACAGGUUUGCCCAUUUGGGAUGCGCCACGUCUCCAAGCUUUCUGUUUGAUUUGAGUUAGUUUGUUUGGGGUGUAACUGUUCACAUCACCAGAGACCUUGACUGUUGGUCUGGCUAGUUAUUUUAUUUUCACAAGCAACGCACAGGAAGUUGAAUCUAUGAAUCGUAUUCAGUCUACAACUCUGUAUAUAGUUGAAUCUACGAAUCGUAUUCAGUCUAUAACACUGUUCAUAGUUGAAUCUAUGAAUCAUAUUCAGUCUAUAACACUGUAUAUAGUUCAUAGUUGAAUCUAUGAAUCAUAUUCAGUCUAUAACACUGUUCAUAGUUGAAUCUAUGAAUCAUAUUCAGUCUAUAACACUGUAUAUAGUUCAUAGUUGAAUCUAUGAAUCAUAUUCAGUCUAUAACACUGUAUAUAGUUCAUAGUUGAAUCUAUGAAUCAUAUUCAGUCUAUAACACUGUAUAUAGUUCAUAGUUGAAUCUAUGAAUCAUAUUCAGUCUACAACUCUGUAUAUAGUUCAUAGUUGAAUCUAUGAAUCAUAUUCAGUCUACAGCACUGUAUAUAGUUCAUAGUUGAAUCUAUGAAUCAUAUUCAGUCUACAACACUGUAUAUAUUGAAUCUAUGAAUCAUAUUCAGUCUACAGCACUUUGAAUCUAUGAAUCAUAUUCAGUCUACAGCACUGUAUGUAGUUGAAUCUAUGAAUCGUAUUCAGUCUACAGCACUGUAUGUAGUUGAAUCUAUGAAUCGUAUUCAGUCUACAGCAGCAGUUUAAAUCAAGUCUAAUGUUAUUGGUCACAUACACGUGUUUAGCAGAUGUUAUUGCAGGUGCAGCGAAAUGCUUGUCAACACACCCCAGUUCUUUGUUUUUAAGCCGUUUCAGUUGUUUGUGUUGUUUUGGUUGGUCGUCAUGGGUUACUGCUAGCCAGCCCAGUGACGUGAAUGUUACAGUACAUCAUCAGACCAGACUGAGACACGUCUACUACACACACACACACACACACACACACACACACACACACACACACUCUGUGUGGUUAUAGUACAUCAUCAGACCAGACUGAGACACGUCUACUACACACACACACACACACACACUCACACUCUGUGUGGUUAUAGUACAUCAUCAGACCAGACUGAGACACG